AAACAGACUCCACGAGGAUGGUAUGAGGGCCCGACGUCCGUCCACAGACUAAAAAUGAAGAUACAACGGGGAGAAACAAAAGUCACUCACCGGGUUUUCCCUCCAAAGAGGCUCUAACGGCGUCAGCGCAGCUUUCACAUGUCAUCUGCACCGCGAACUCCAGCUGUGAACAACGACACAUUGACGACAUUUUGGGAUAAAGAAUAAUCCCUGACCUCUGCGUGGCGCUUGUUUAAAACAAGGCUGUGAAAUCACAAAAGCACAGAAGACAUGAAUGUGUGGAGAUGACUUUGCAGAGCUCACAUUGGUGAUGGACGGAUCAACUUUUAAAUGAUGAGGAAUCCUGAACAUUGACAGAUUUCUUCCUUACCAAGGUAAUACAAACUCAAAACUCCGUGUCUCAGGAAACCUGGCUUCCAUCCCACCUACGCAGUGCCACAGGCUGAUCACCCACAUGACACAGCGCAGACGCCAUAAAAGGCAGCAGCAGGAAUGAAGUGGGCACACUGAAUGUAUUUACAGGAGAAACCGUGGGAUUAUUUUCUUCAGUAAUACCUGACACAUUGAACAAGCACCUGCUGGUGACAGUUGCCUCUCGUGCAGAUGAUGGCCUCGGGCAAAACACAUAGGAGGAUUUAUGAUGAUUCAGGGAACAUGGCAUGCUGGGAGCGGGCUCAAAUUAUUAAAAAAUAUAAUAAAAAAGUUGUUUUUAAAAAUGUUGUUAAUAUUAUGUUGGAUGAAUUCUUAUUUUUAAUAAACUUAAAAUUUAUGGUUUCUUUAAAUUACACCUUUACUUGCUUUUUAAGCUAAUUAUUAGCAAGCGUUAGCGCCAGGGUGUGGUGCCCAACCCGCCUUCUCCAAAACCGUUGCAGUUAUGUCAUUUUAAAACAUGAAAAUCACAUUGUUAGCAUAUUUCUGAAUUGUGAUGAAGUUUCUACAAUCAUUGGCCUCCAUAAUUGCUACAGGAGUUUUUUUUAUUUUUUAUUUUUUUUAAGAGCCUUAAGGGCUAGAUAAUCCAUCCAUCCAUCCAUCUUCUUGACCGCUUUGUCCCUUUCGGGGUCGCGGGGGUGCCGGAGCC